UACGUAGGGGCUAGCGUUAUCCGGAAUUACUGGGCGUAAAGGGUGCGUAGGUGGUUUCUUAAGUCAGAGGUGAAAGGCUACGGCUCAACCGUAGUAAGCCUUUGAAACUGGGUAACUUGAGUGCAGGAGAGGAGAGUGGAAUUCCUAGUGUAGCGGUGAAAUGCGUAGAUAUUAGGAGGAACACCAGUUGCGAAGGCGGCUCUCUUGACUGUAACUGACACUGAGGCACGAAAGCGUGGGGAGCAAACAGGAUUAGAUACCCUGGUAGUCCCUGAG
rnacentral:rRNA from 1 species